rnacentral:rRNA from 1 species
UACGGAAGGCAGCAGUGGGGAAUAUUGCACAAUGGGCGCAAGCCUGAUGCAGCCAUGCCGCGUGUAUGAAGAAGGCCUUCGGGUUGUAAAGUACUUUCAGUCGUGAGGAAGGUGUUAAGGUUAAUAACCUUAGCAAUUGACGUUAGCGACAGAGAAGCACCGGCUAACUCCGUGCCAGCAGCCGCGGUAAUACGGAGGGUGCGAGCGUUAAUCGGAAUUACUGGGCGUAAAGGGCACGCAGGCGGUUAAUUAAGUUGGAUGUGAAAUCCCCGGGCUUAACCUGGGAAUGGCAUUCAAGACUGGUUAGCUAGAGUCUUGUAGAGGGGGUAGAAUUCCAUGUGUAGCGGUGAAAUGCGUAGAGAUGUGGAGGAAUACCGGUGGCGAAGGCGGCCCCUGGGACAAAGACUGACGCUCAUGUGCGAAAGCGUGGGGAGCAAACAGGGAUUAGAUACC